rnacentral:misc_RNA from 1 species
UACGGAGGGUGCAAGCGUUAAUCGGAAUUACUGGGCGUAAAGCGCACGCAGGCGGUCUGUCAAGUCGGUUGUGAAAUCCCCGGGCUCAACCUGGGAACUGCAUCCGAAACUGGCAGGCUAGAGGCUUGUAGUGGGCGGUAGAAUUACAGGUGUAGCGGUGAAAUGCGUAGAGAGCUGGAGGAAUACCGGUGGCGAAGGCGGCCCCCUGGACAAAGACUGAUGCUCAGGUGCGAAAGCGUGGUGAGCAAACAGG